rnacentral:SRP_RNA from 1 species
CCGUGCUAGGUGGGGUGCUAGGGGUGCCCUCUGCCCGAAAUCCUCUCUAGGCGGGGCUGAACUCCCUGCCUGAGGGCGACUGGCUUUCGGGGCAGCGCCGGGCACGUGGUGUUGAAGGCCGGGUCCUGCGCGGCGGGGCUCUGUGAACCGGGUCAGGUCCGGAAGGAAGCAGCCCUAAGCGGUCCGCCCCGGGUGCCGCAGGGGUGCCUGGCCGGAGCCGGCGGCCCGGGACGCGCCGCGAGUCGGCGUCCGACGGCGGGGUGCACGG